GGCGUCCUACGGGACGCAGCAGUGAGGAAUAUUGGUCAAUGGGCGAGAGCCUGAACCAGCCAAGUCGCGUGAGGGAAGACGGUCCUAUGGAUUGUAAACCUCUUUUGCCGGGGAGCAAAAAGCGGUACGUUUAUCGCAUCGAGGGUACCCGGAGAAAAAGCAUCGGCUAACUCCGUGCCAGCAGCCGCGGUAAUACGGAGGAUGCGAGCGUUAUCCGGAUUUAUUGGGUUUAAAGGGUGCGCAGGCGGCGAGUUAAGUCAGCGGUAAAAUUUCGGGGCUCAACCCCGACAAGCCGUUGAAACUGG
rnacentral:rRNA from 1 species